rfam:Neotoma lepida isolate 417 scaffold_528, whole genome shotgun sequence.
UGGACAUUUAUUUUGUCAGUUUCUUGUUGAAGUGAAGAUAGCUUUUUGUAAAUGUCCUGGUGAAAUGUAGUAGCUUUCUGUUCAUCUUUUGCAAGAAGAAAGGAUGGAUCUUUUGUUUAAAAAAAAAA